rnacentral:rRNA from 1 species
UACGUAGGGUGCGAGCGUUAAUCGGAAUUACUGGGCGUAAAGCGUGCGCAGGCGGUAGGUUAAGUCUGAUGUGAAAGCCCCGGGCUCAACCUGGGAAUGGCAUUGGAAACUGGCUUGCUGGAGUGUGGCAGAGGGGGGUGGAAUUCCGCGUGUAGCAGUGAAAUGCGUAGAGAUGCGGAGGAACACCGAUGGCGAAGGCAGCCCCCUGGGCUGACACUGACGCUCAGGCACGAAAGCGUGGGGAGCAAACAGG